UACGAAGGGGGCUAGCGUUACUCGGAAUGACUGGGCGUAAAGGGCGCGUAGGCGGUUUGCUUAGUUAGGCGUGAAAUUCCUGGGCUCAACCUGGGGGCUGCGCUUAAUACAGGCAGACUAGAGUGUGAAAGAGGGUCGUGGAAUUUCCAGUGUAGAGGUGGAAUUCGUAGAUAUUGGAAAGAACACCGGUGGCGAAGGCGGCGACCUGGUUCAUUACUGACGCUGAGGCGCGAAAGCGUGGGGAGCAAACAGG
rnacentral:rRNA from 1 species